rnacentral:rRNA from 1 species
UACGUAGGCAGCAAGCGUUGUUCGGAAUUACUGGGCGUAAAGAGUGUGUAGGUGGCGCGCUAAGUCGGGUGUGAAAUUUCGGAGCUUAACUCCGAAACUGCAUUCGAUACUGGCGUGCUUGAGGACUGGAGAGGAGACUGGAAUUCAUGGUGUAGCAGUGAAAUGCGUAGAGAUCAUGAGGAAGACCAGUGGCGAAGGCGGGUCUCUGGACAGUUCCUGACACUGAGACACGAAGGCCAGGGGAGCAAACGGG